AACAAACUCAUUAUAACGAUGUUAUGAGUAGUGACGGUGAGGAUGAUGAUGUUGAGAUGGAAAAGAAGAUAUGGAUGAAGACAAUGGGAUUAUUGGAGAAGAUGUAUUAGGAUUUGAACUUGGUGCAGUGGAGGAUAGGACAGAUGAGAAUGGGGAAAUUCAUAUUGAAUAGUUGGAGCUACUCAAAGAUAGACAUGGAAAAUGAGAAUUUUUUUG